rnacentral:rRNA from 1 species
UACGUAGGGUGCAAGCGUUGUCCGGAAUUAUUGGGCGUAAAGAGCUCGUAGGCGGUCUGUCGCGUCGAAUGUGAAAACCCGGGGCUCAACCCCGGGCCUGCAUUCGAUACGGGCAGACUAGAGUUCGGUAGGGGAGUCUGGAAUUCCUGGUGUAGCGGUGAAAUGCGCAGAUAUCAGGAGGAACACCGGUGGCGAAGGCGGGACUCUGGGCCGAUACUGAUGCUGAGGAGCGAAGGCGUGGGGAGCGAACAGG